AACGAACGCUGGCGGCAGGCUUAAUACAUGCAAGUCGAGCGAGAACCAGGGCUUCGGCCCUGGGGACAGCGGCGAACGGGUGAGUAACACGUGGGUAAUCAACCCCCGACACCGGGAUAGCCCAGGGAAACUUGGAUUAAUACCGGAUGCCCCAUCUGGCUUUCGAGCCGGCUGGAAAAGGGUAGCUUCGGCCUCCGGUCGGGGACGAGCCCGCGGCGGAUUAGCUUGUUGGUGAGGUAAAGGCUCACCAAGGCGACGAUCCGUAGCUGGUCUGAGAGGACGAUCAGCCACACUGGGACUGAGACACGGCCCAGACUCCUACGGGAGGCAGCAGUGGGGAAUAUUGGACAAUGGGCGAAAGCCUGAUUCAGCCAUGCCGCGUGUGUGAAGAAGGUCUUCGGAUUGUAAAGCACUUUAAGUUGGGAGGAAGGGCAUUAACCUAAUACGUUAGUGUUUUGACGUUACCAACAGAAUAAGCACCGGCUAACUUCGUGCCAGCCGCCGCGGUAACAC
rnacentral:rRNA from 1 species